AAACAUGAUGGUGAUCCGAAAUCUGAACGUCAAUUUUCAUGAUUAUUUCACGACGAAGAUCAUCACAUCAAUGAAUCAAAUAUUACGAACAUGCCUUUGGUAUUAGCAGGGUGCUUUCAGCAUAUGCAACAAUACUUUCAUCUGUGAAUACCCACUUUCUAAGCCCACCAUGAACUAGGAAGGUUAAUUAAUAUGUAAGGACAACAAUGAACAGACACUUUCCAAUUAUCCUACAUCAUAUACAUGGGUGGUCAAACUCACUGGAUGAUUUAUCAACACUCCC